rnacentral:rRNA from 1 species
GACGAACGCUGGCGGCGUGCUUAGCACAUGCAAGUCGAACGGAAAGGCCCUGCUUUUGUGGGGUGCUCGAGUGGCGAACGGGUGAGUAACACGUGAGUAACCUGCCCUUGACUUUGGGAUAACUUCAGGAAACUGGGGCUAAUACCGGAUAGGAGCUCCUGCUACAUGGUGGGGGUUGGAAAGUUUCGGCGGUUGGGGAUGGACUCGCGGCUUAUCAGCUUGUUGGUGGGGUAGUGGCUUACCAAGGCUUUGACGGGUAGCCGGCCUGAGAGGGUGACCGGCCACAUUGGGACUGAGAUACGGCCCAGACUCCUACGGGAGGCAGCAGUGGGGAAUAUUGCACAAUGGGCGGAAGCCUGAUGCAGCAACGCCGCGUGCGGGAUGACGGCCUUCGGGUUGUAAACCGCUUUCGCCUGUGACGAAGCGUGAGUGACGGUAAUGGGUAAAGAAGCACCGGCUAACUACGUG